rnacentral:tRNA from 1 species
UUGCGGGGUAGAGGAAAGGUAAACUCAUUAGACUCAUAACCUAAAAACUGUAGGUUCAAAUCCUACCCCCGCUAAC